ACACCGCCCGUCACGUCAUGAAAGUCGGUAACACCCGAAGCCGGUGGCCUAACCCUUGUGGAGGGAGCCGUCGAAGGUGGGAUCGGCGAUUGGGACGAAGUCGUAACAAGGUAGCCGUACCGGAAGG
rnacentral:rRNA from 1 species